AUGAACGCUAGCUACAGGCUUAACACAUGCAAGUCGAGGGGCAGCAUUUUAGUUUGCUUGCAAACUGAAGAUGGCGACCGGCGCACGGGUGAGUAACACGUAUCCAACCUGCCGAUAACUCCGGAAUAGCCUUUCGAAAGAAAGAUUAAUACCGGAUAGCAUACGAAUAUCGCAUGAUAUUUUUAUUAAAGAAUUUCGGUUAUCGAUGGGGAUGCGUUCCAUUAGUUUGUUGGCGGGGUAACGGCCCACCAAGACUACGAUGGAUAGGGGUUCUGAGAGGAAGGUCCCCCACAUUGGAACUGAGACACGGUCCAAACUCCUACGGGAGGCAGCAGUGAGGAAUAUUGGUCAAUGGGCGAGAGCCUGAACCAGCCAAGUAGCGUGAAGGAUGAAGGCUCUAUGGGUCGUAAACUUCUUUUAUAUGGGAAUAAAGUUUUCCACGUGUGGAAUUUUGUAUGUACCAUAUGAAUAAGGAUCGGCUAACUCCGUGCCAGCAGCCGCGGUAAUACGGAGGAUCCGAGCGUUAUCCGGAUUUAUUGGGUUUAAAGGGAGCGUAGGUGGAUUGUUAAGUCAGUUGUGAAAGUUUGCGGCUCAACCGUAAAAUUGCAGUUGAAACUGGCAGUCUUGAGUACAGUAGAGGUGGGCGGAAUUCGUGGUGUAGCGGUGAAAUGCUUAGAUAUCACGAAGAACUCCGAUUGCGAAGGCAGCUCACUAGACUGUCACUGACACUGAUGCUCGAAAGUGUGGGUAUCAAACAGGAUUAGAUACCCUGGUAGUCCACACAGUAAACGAUGAAUACUCGCUGUUUGCGAUAUACAGUAAGCGGCCAAGCGAAAGCAUUAAGUAUUCCACCUGGGGAGUACGCCGGCAACGGUGAAACUCAAAGGAAUUGACGGGGACCCGCACAAGCGGUGGAGCAUGUGGUUUAAUUCGAAGCAACGCGAAGAACCUUACCUGCUCUUGACAUCUCCCUGACCGGCAAGUAAUGUUGCCUUUCCUUCGGGACAGGGAUGACAGGUGGUGCAUGGUUGUCGUCAGCUCGUGCCGUGAGGUGUCGGCUUAAGUGCCAUAACGAGCGCAACCCUUAUCUUUAGUUACUAACAGGUUAUGCUGAGGACUCUAGAGAGACUGCCGUCGUAAGAUGUGAGGAAGGUGGGGAUGACGUCAAAUCAGCACGGCCCUUACGUCCGGGGCUACACACGUGUUACAAUGGGGGGUACAGAAGGCGGCUACCUGGUGACAGGAUGCUAAUCCCAAAAACCUCUCUCAGUUCGGAUCGAAGUCUGCAACCCGACUUCGUGAAGCUGGAUUCGCUAGUAAUCGCGCAUCAGCCAUGGCGCGGUGAAUACGUUCCCGGGCCUUGUACACACCGCCCGUCAAGCCAUGGGAGCCGGGGGUACCUGAAGUGCGUAACCGCGAGGAUCGCCCUAGGGUAAAACUGGUGACUGGGGCU
rnacentral:rRNA from 1 species